rnacentral:lncRNA from 1 species
CCUCCUGCUGGACGCGCUGCCCGGGCCGUAUGCGGCCGCUGCCGCCGGGCCGCUGGGUGCCGCGCCCGACCGCUUCCCGGCAGACCUGGACCUCGACAUGUUCAGCGGGAGCCUCGAGUGCGACGUCGAGUCCAUCAUCCUCAACGACUUCAUGGACAGCGACGAAAUGGACUUCAACUUCGACUCGGCCCUGCCUCCGCCGCCGCCCGGCCUGGCCGGGGCCCCGCCCCCCAAUCAGAGCUGGGUACCGGGCUGAGGGCCGCCUCCCGCGCCCUGGGUGCCGGCCCCGCCCCCGAGGGGCCUGUGUCUUCCCAUCCUGAUCCCCGGAUCCCCACCCCCGACUCCAGCUCCACGGGAGGAUCCAGGAGGCAGCCCCAGCCCAGCUAGAGACAUCCCUCCGAAGCUGACCACCGAGGGAAGUGGUGGGGAGGGGCUUGGGCACCCCGCCACUCCUGCCCAAACUCCUGAGACCCACUCCUCCUCCUCCCUGGGCAGGAAGCCUGGGAGUGGAGGCUGAAUUCCGGGCUGGGUGGAAUGCGGAGGAGCAAGCGGCCGCGCCGGUCUGGGAAGCCAACCCGGAGAUGGGGCGGGGGUCUCCGAAUCUUCAGUUUCAUUUGCGGGGCCCUCACCACGACGAAUUGCCCACCCCAAACUGCGCUCUAGUUCCCAAGUGACACUUUCCCACUGGUCUUAGCCUCACCCACCCCAAGCCAGCAAUCCCCUCCCGAAAACACACUCACACCUACCUACUGGCUGUUCCCCUUGAGCUGUCCGCCUUCAGCCCUACACCAUCCUUCCACCCCCACCCCCACAGUUCAGCGCCUCUCGCCCAUCCUUGCCGGCCCUAGCUUCUCCCCUUCUCUGUCGGAGUCAAUUCCGUUUUCCAACCUCCCCAUCACCCCCCAGUGCUGGUCUCAGCCUCUCCAGAGAGCCAGCAACCGACAACCCUUUCUCCGUGCCAGUCCUGGCUCCUCUCUCCCGUAUUUAUAAGCGUCCUGUCGGGGCGGGCAGUGUACCGUGGCCGUGCCGUCAGCGUGUGCGUGUGCGUGUGUGCCGUGUCGAGGCCGUGUAGAGUGCAUUGUACAGCAUAUUUUCAUGAAUAAAAUUGUUUUAAAUA